rnacentral:rRNA from 1 species
GACGAACCGUGCGAACGUUGUUCGGAAUCACUGGGCUUAAAGGGCGCGUAGGCGGCCACUGCAAGUCAGUUGUGAAAUCUACGGGCUUAACCCGGAAAGGUCAACUGAUACUGCAGGGCUAGAGUGCAGAAGGGGCAACUGGAAUUCUCGGUGUAGCGGUGAAAUGCGUAGAUAUCGAGAGGAACACCUGCGGCGAAGGCGGGUUGCUGGGCUGACACUGACGCUGAGGCGCGAAAGCCAGGGGAGCGAACGGG